rnacentral:rRNA from 1 species
GAUGAACGCUGGCGGCGUGCCUAAUACAUGCAAGUCGAGCGAACAGACGAGGAGCUUGCUCCUCUGACGUUAGCGGCGGACGGGUGAGUAACACGUGGAUAACCUACCUAUAAGACUGGGAUAACUUCGGGAAACCGGAGCUAAUACCGGAUAAUAUAUUGAACCGCAUGGUUCAAUAGUGAAAGACGGCUUUGCUGUCACUUAUAGAUGGAUCCGCGCCGCAUUAGCUAGUUGGUAAGGUAACGGCUUACCAAGGCGACGAUGCGUAGCCGACCUGAGAGGGUGAUCGGCCACACUGGAACUGAGACACGGUCCAGACUCCUACGGGAGGCAGCAGUAGGGAAUCUUCCGCAAUGGGCGAAAGCCUGACGGAGCAACGCCGCGUGAGUGAUGAAGGUCUUCGGGUCGUAAAACUCUGUUAUUGGGAAAGAACAGAUGUGUAAGUAACUAUGCACGUCUUGACGGUACCUAAUCAGAAAGCCACGGCUAACUACGUG